rnacentral:tRNA from 1 species
GAAACAGCUCAGUGGUAGAGUACAUGCUUAGCAUGCACAAGGUCCUGGGUUCGAUCCCCAGUAAUUUCA